rnacentral:rRNA from 1 species
GACGAACGCUGGCGGCGUGCUUAACACAUGCAAGUCGAACGGAAAGGCCCUUCGGGGUACUCGAGUGGCGAACGGGUGAGUAACACGUGGGUGAUCUGCCCUGCACUUUGGGAUAAGCCUGGGAAACUGGGGCUAAUACCGAAUAGGACCACGCGCUUCCUUGUGUGUGGUGGAAAGCUUUUGCGGUGUGGGAUGGGCCCGCGGCCUAUCAGCUUGUUGGUGGGGUAAUGGCCUACCAAGGCGACGACGGGUAGCCGGCCUGAGAGGGUGACCGGCCACACUGGGACUGAGAUACGGCCCAGACUCCUACGGGAGGCAGCAGUGGGGAAUAUUGCACAAUGGGCGCAAGCCUGAUGCAGCGACGCCGCGUGAGGGAUGACGGCCUUCGGGUUGUAAACCUCUUUCAAUAGGGACGAAGCGCAAGUGACGGUACCUAUAGAAGAAGCACCGGCCAACUACGCG